UACCCUUUUAAAGACAGUCCAGAGAGGCUGGCAAAGGGGAGUCAAUCGGAAGAGCUGUGCCCAUGUAUAGGCAUUUACCUUCUGAGAAGCCCUCUUUGUAUACAGCAAAGAGGGUUUUUACAG
rfam:Bacillus sp. FJAT-22058 super1, whole genome shotgun sequence.